rnacentral:rRNA from 1 species
AAAGGAAUAGACGGGGGCCCGCACAAGCGGUGGAGCAUGUGGUUCAAUUCGAAGCAACGCGCAGAACCUUACCAGCUUUUGACAUCCCGGUCGCGAGCACCAGAGAUGGAGCUUUUCAGUUCGGCUGGACCGGAGACAGGUGCUGCAUGGCUGUCGUCAGCUCGUGUCGUGAGAUGUUGGGUUAAGUCCCGCAACGAGCGCAACCCUCGCCCUUAGUUGCCAUCAUUUAGUUGGGCACUCUAAGGGGACUGCCGGUGAUAAGCCGGAGGAAGGUGGGGAUGACGUCAAGUCCUCAUGGCCCUUACAGGCUGGGCUACACACGUGCUACAAUGGCGGUGACAGAGGGACGCAAAGGAGCAAUCCUUCGCAAAUCUCAAAAAGCCGUCUCAGUUCGGAUUGUGCUCUGCAACUCGAGCACAUGAAGUUGGAAUCGCUAGUAAUCGCAGAUCAGCACGCUGCGGUGAAUACGUUCCCGGGCCUUGUACACACCGCCCGU